UACGGGGGGGGCAAGCGUUGUUCGGAAUUACUGGGCGUAAAGGGCUCGUAGGCGGCCAACUAAGUCAGACGUGAAAUCCCUCAGCUUAACUGGGGAACUGCGUCUGAUACUGGAUGGCUUGGAUCCGGGAGAGGGAUGCGGAAUUCCAGGUGUAGCGGUGAAAUGCGUAGAUAUCUGGAGGAACACCGGUGGCGAAGGCGGGUCUCUGGGCCGUAACUGACGCUGAGGAGCGAAAGCAUGGGGAGCGAACAGG
rnacentral:rRNA from 1 species